CGUAGGUGGCAAGCGUUAUCCGGAAUUAUUGGGCGUAAAGCGCGCGUAGGCGGUUUUAAAGUCUGAUGUGAAAGCCCACGGCUCAACCGUGGAGGGUCAUUGGAAACUGGAAAACUUGAGUGCAGAAGAGGAAGUGGAAUUCCAUGUGUAGCGGUGAAAUGCGCAGAGAUAUGGAGGAACACCAGUGGCGAAGGCGACUUUCUGGUCUGUAACUGACGCUGAUGUGCGAAAAGCGUGGGGAUCAAAACAGGAUU
rnacentral:rRNA from 1 species